GACACGUCAUCAAGCCCAGCUCCGUAGCUUUGGUUCUUCUUCACGCCUUUCGCGAUCCGAGAGGCGAUAGAUUCGACGUUUCUUUUUUUCAUUUCUCCAGAUCCCGUUUUGCUAGAUCCAAUCGUGAAACCCUUUGCUUUUCCUCUCUUAAUCGACGUUAUCCGGUGAUUUUAAAAGAAGUGUUAUUCUAUCUCGAAAGAUUCCGAUGAGAUCUAAACGCAGCGAUGGAGGCUUGCCGCAGAAAACCUUGCCGUCGCCGGCUCAACCUCUGUCUGGAACCAGAGAACCGCGGCGGAGGAACAAAGAAGAAACGAGAAGAUCGUGAGAUUCAUAGAACUUUCUCAUGGAUCGUCAACAAAGUACCUCAGCGACAACAAUUGGAGACUAGAGCACGCCGCCCGUGCUCUCUGUGAACACCGCUAUGAUAAACCUGAGAAGAAGUCGAAGCCGGUGCCAUUAUCACACGAUGGUAGUCAUACUGAGCCGUGGUAUCUGCACGGGUUCUAAGGGUAUGAAGGAUCGGCCGAUACGAUGCAUGACGUCUUCAGUAAAGUGCCGCCGUUUCGUAAUACCUCGACGAAUUUCAGAAUCGGGAGCCCUCCUUCUGCUAGGUCAUCGUUUAUUCAUUUACGGUUUAGCGUAACUUUCUGUUUUGAUUUAUGGUUUAACGUGUCUUUGUGUGUUCUUGAUAUAGGGUUUAGCGUACAUUAGUGUUCUUGGUUUAGGGUGCUUUUGUCUUCUGAUAGUGUUUUGUUCUGUCUUUUAUAUGAUCAAAAAAAUUUUAGUGGUAUGGCUGUUGACCAAGAUUCAAGCAGAGUCACCUAUAGUGGAGGUUGUUUGAUUUCUGAGCAAUCCAGACUUCUUUGAACGUGUUUACACUUUAUAAACAGAGAGAUCAUGCAGAUUAAGGAAGCAAUUGGCAUCCAAACAACUUUGAGUAGGCAUUAACUGGUUUUAACCAAUAUCUGAGAACGUGAAUCAGGUAGGAAGGCAUUGCUACAUCUCAAUAAGGAGAAAGUCAUUGUCUGUUAUGAGUCUGAUUCACACCCGAAGCUAGCAAAUUGUUCUACGUCAUCUCAUGAAAGGGUUCAAUGCAUGAUAGUUUUGGAGACAAGGACAACUGUGUUUCAAAAAGAACAAUAACAAAGACACACGAAUCUUGAUACUUUCAGAGUGAAACCCAUCGUGAAGAUGCUAUUAGUCAAUGUGAUAGAAACAGGUGCGAAUCACGCAAGGUUCAUGCAGAAAUUAGGACAAGAGUCAUGGAAAGAAGAAGAAGAAGAAGAAGAAGAGGAUCAAGAUAUUGGAGCAAAUAAAGUGUUCAAGAAAGUGAGAGAAAAAUCUAAGAUCAGGAACAGUCUUGAUCAUGAAGAAAAAUAUGACGAGAAAGAACCAGAAGAAUGGCACAGUGAGCCAGGCGGUGUAACAGAUCAACCUGAGGCAUUGAGUCAUUCCGGAGAAACUAAUUUUCGGCACAAGAGGAGAUCGCUCCACCAUGGAAAAAAGUUUUUCAGUUUGUGUCUUCGGAUUAUACCAAAUCCAUUGAAAUGGAGCCAUUACGAGAUGAUGAGAUGAUGGAUACUUCGGAUUUGAUGAUAUGAUGCCUCUUACAUCUUUCCCCAAAUCUUUGGAGUAUAAAGUUUGAUGCAUGAAGAUUUAAUCUUUUCACCUAUCAUUUCGUUGUUCCGUAACCAAGAAGCUCAAAUCCAGGUGUUCAAGUUUAAAAGAAUCUUUGAGUAGACUUAGCUAUCUCAUGUUCUGCUUCAUCGAUGUCAUAGGAUGUCUGCUUAAAAUUCAUGGACGUGCAUGAAUCCAGCCGGUUUCUUUGAAAUCAAGCAAGAGAAGUAAGGGCAAAACAGCCAAGCAUCUCUGCAAUGAAUGACUGAAGGUUUAUGUUCGUAAAUGCUGCAAUCUUACUAUUGUGAUUAUAGAUUCUAAUUUUUUUUUUCAAUCUGGAUAAUGAAACCAUGACCUAAUGUCACACAAGAAAAACCACUAAGGCUAUAUUCGUCUUGCAUUUUUCAUAAGUAAUGAACACAUUAUUCCUAAGUAGUUCCUACAAACAAGAGUUGUAUUCACAUUAUUCCUAAGUAGGGAUACUCUCCCUGUUGAUUUUA